CACUGUGCGAAUUGACAGCAUAGCACCAUUGUUGUUUAUAAAAUCGUUUGCUGUGUAAACAUUGCAAAUUAUCAAAUUCAGAAGCGCUUUAUACAUUAUAAACUAAGUUAUAUAAUGCCCUAUUUGAUUGCAUCUGGUAAAAUAUUCCUCGUUUACUUGCAGAUAAUUACGUACUCCCAAAUUAAACACCCGAUCGUCAAUUUAUUAUAAAAGUUGAGGCUGAUCAUCUAAAUCAAGUUUGUUCAGAACUGAAGCGGUUGAACUAAUCCCGAAAAUGACUGUAUCAAUGUAUCAAUGUAAUCACAAUUCGUGAUACCUUCAUUCAACUUUAUGGUGACAAAUAGUCAUUCCUCUUAAUAAUCGCAUAAAAACGCUUGCGGCUACAACAUUUUCUACAACAAACCUUACACGCCACACAAAGAUGUAGGUGUGAAUAUACAUUGCUGUGUGACAAGUGGUUUUUUUUUUAACUUGGACGAUUGUAUUGGUAAAGCAAAACUCUUUUCAAAAAAACAUGGAAACAGGCCAAACACGAAAAUAUUUAUACAUGGUCCAUAAUGCAAACUGGAUGGGUGGAUACUUACGAAUCAAAUUGGUCAUAAAGGCUAUAUAUAACAAAUAGCGCUAUAUGAAUAUGUCACAGUUUUUCUUAUCUUGGCUCACAGCAGCUGAUUAUAAAGAUUCGUCAUCCUUAUUUUAACUGCCCUGUAGAUUAAGAUGGUGAUCCAAUGGAGCGUUUGGUCUCAAAGCAGCUUUUGCAAACGCCGAAUACGUAGCGUUCGAUCACUUAAUCCGCAUAACCGAUAUAAAGUAGGUAAUACAGCUGUAGCUGAGGCUGGAUAACCUACGGCUUGUAACAUCUCGUACUGCUCGUUAACUCGUGAGGCGAGCAUUUAUGUA